GAUGAACGCUGGCGGCGUGCUUAACACAUGCAAGUCGAACGGAAAGGCCUCUGCUUGCAGGGGUACUCGAGUGGCGAACGGGUGAGUAACACGUGGGUGAUCUGCCCUGCACUUCGGGAUAAGCCUGGGAAACUGGGUCUAAUACCGGAUAGGACAAUGGUUUGGAUGCUGUUGUGGAAAGUUUUUCGGUGUGGGAUGAGCUCGCGGCCUAUCAGCUUGUUGGUGGGGUAAUGGCCUACCAAGGCGUCGACGGGUAGCCGGCCUGAGAGGGUGUACGGCCACAUUGGGACUGAGAUACGGCCCAGACUCCUACGGGAGGCAGCAGUGGGGAAUAUUGCACGAUGGGCGCAAGCCUGAUGCAGCGACGCCGCGUGGGGGAUGACGGCCUUCGGGUUGUAAACUCCUUUCGCUAGGGACGAAGCGUUUUUGUGACGGUACCUGGAGAAGAAGCACCGGCUAACUACGUG
rnacentral:rRNA from 1 species